rnacentral:rRNA from 1 species
CCCGAAAGAUCGAAUGGGGAGACUCAUCGUCAGCGGGUCUGGCUUCCGUGUGGUCCGCGAUGUCCGAGACGGUGCGCUUUGUCGCGCUCGUCAACGUCACGCGUCCCACUGCGGUAUGUCCGGCCACGUCGGCGUGCACUUCUCCUCUGGUAGAACGUCGCGACCCGCUGGGUGUCGGUUUAAGGGCCGAGAUCGUUGACUGUUCCGUUGCCGUUUCACGGCGUGCACACGGCUACACAGACGCUCGGGUAUCCCGACCGGCUGCUCGGCGGUAUGAUCAAUGGUAUUGAGCCGCACAAUUCGAAUGCGUUCAGACACGCCGCAAGCUCGACCGACUAUUCUCCUGGACGUACGGACUUUGCGCCGUACCCGGGGUUGGUUGGCUGUUGGUUGGCGGUGAUCUCGAACCGGCUAAACAAAAAAAACGCAAGUUUUUUAUAUAACGAUACCGGUCGGCGACGCUUAUGCUUUGGGUACUUUCAGGACCCGUCUUGAAACACGGACCAAGGAGUCUAGCAUGUGCGCGAGUCAUUGGGACAUUGAAACCUAAAGGCGCAUUGAAAGAGAAGAUCGACCUCGCGUCGAUCGAGGGAGGAUGGGCGGCGUUGCGAUGCCGCCCCGCACUCCCGGGGCGUCUCGUUGUCAUUGCGACUUGAGGCGCACCCAGAGCGCACACGUUGGGACCCGAAAGAUGGUGAACUAUGCCUGGUCAGGACGAAGUCAGGGGAAACCCUGAUGGAGGUCCGUAGCGAUUCUGACGUGCAAAUCGAUCGUCGGAACUGGGUAUAG